rnacentral:rRNA from 1 species
AAUCAACGCUGGCGGCGCGCUUAACACAUGCAAGUCGCACGAGAAAGUGGAGCAAUCCAUGAGUACAGUGGCGUACGGGUGAGUAACACGUGGAUUAUCUACCUUCUAGUGGGGAAUACCUCCGGGAAACUGGAGACAAUACCGCAUAAGCUCGUAAGAGGAAAGCAGCAAUGCGCUGGAAGAGGAGUCCGCGGCUGAUUAGCUAGUUGGCGGGGUAACGGCCCACCAAGGCGAAGAUCGGUAGCCGGCCUGAGAGGGCACACGGCCACA